rnacentral:rRNA from 1 species
GGGCCCGCACAAGCGGUGGAGCAUGUGGUUUAAUUCGAUGAUACGCGAGGAACCUUACCAGGACUUAAAUGUAAGUUGCAUGAUUCAGAAAUGAAUCUUUCUUCGGACUACUUACAAGGUGCUGCAUGGUUGUCGUCAGCUCGUGCCGUGAGGUGUCAGGUUAAGUCCUAUAACGAGCGCAACCCCUAUCGUUAGUUGCCAUCAAGUAAAGUUGGGAACUCUAGCGAAACUGCCGGUGCAAACCGUGAGGAAGGUGGGGAUGACGUCAAAUCAUCACGGCCCUUACGUUCUGGGCUACACACGUGCUACAAUGGCCGGUACAGAAAGCAGCCACUAUGCGAAUAGGAGCUAAUCUUUAAAACCGGUCGUAGUCCGGAUUGCAGUCUGCAACUCGACUGCAUGAAGCUGGAAUCGCUAGUAA